rnacentral:rRNA from 1 species
UGGUUAUAAAGGGAUAGCCAUGCAUGUCACGUCGUACACAGGUAGUCCACAGCUUGCUCGCGAGAUGGAUCAGUGGCGAACGGGUGAGUAACACGUGAGCAACCUGCCCUCCACUUCGGGAUAAGCCUUGGAAACGGGGUCUAAUACCGGAUAUGAGCUCCUGUCGCAUGGCGGGGGUUGGAAAGUUUUUCGGUGGGGGAUGGGCUCGCGGCCUAUCAGCUUGUUGGUGGGGUGAUGGCCUACCAAGGCGUCGACGGGUAGCCGGCCUGAGAGGGCGACCGGCCACACUGGGACUGAGACACGGCCCAGACUCCUACGGGAGGCAGCAGUGGGGAAUAUUGCACAAUGGGCGAAAGCCUGAUGCAGCGACGCCGCGUGAGGGAUGACGGCCUUCGGGUUGUAAACCUCUUUCAGCAGGGAAGAAGCGCAAGUGACGGUACCUGCAGAAGAAGCGCCGGCUAACUACGUGCCAGCAGCCGCGGUAAUACGUAGGGCGCAAGCGUUGUCCGGAAUUAUUGGGCGUAAAGAGCUCGUAGGCGGUCUGUCGCGUCUGGUGUGAAAUCCCGAGGCUCAACCUCGGGCUUGCAUCGGGUACGGGCAGACUAGAGUGCGGUAGGGGAGACUGGAAUUCCUGGUGUAGCGGUGGAAUGCGCAGAUAUCAGGAGGAACACCGAUGGCGAAGGCAGGUCUCUGGGCCGCAACUGACGCUGAGGAGCGAAAGCAUGGGGAGCGAACAGGAUUAGAUACCCUGGUAGUCCAUGCCGUAAACGUUGGGCACUAGGUGUGGGGCUCAUUUCACGAGAUCCGUGCCGCAGCUAACGCAUUAAGUGCCCCGCCUGGGGAGUACGCCCGCAAGACUAUAACUCAAAGGAAUAGACGGGGGCCCGCACAAGCGGCGGAGCAUGCGGAUUAAUUCGAUGCAACGCGAAGAACCUUACCAAGGCUUGACACGUACGAGAAAGCCCCCGAGACGGGGUUCUCUUGGGACAUUGGUACACAGGUGGUGCAUGGUUGUCGUCAGCUCGUGUCGUGAGAUGUUGGGUUAAGUCCCGCAACGAGCGCAACCCUCGUCCUAUGUUGCCAGCGGGUUAUGCCGGGGACUCAUGGGAGACUGCCGGGGUCAACUCGGAGGAAGGUGGGGAUGACGUCAAAUCAUCAUGCCCCUUAUGUCUUGGGCUUCACGCAUGCUACAAUGGCCGGUACAGAGGGCUGCGAUACCGUAAGGUGGAGCGAAUCCCAAAAAGCCGGUCUCAGUUCGGAUUGGGGUCUGCAACUCGACCCCAUGAAGUCGGAGUCGCUAGUAAUCGCAGAUCAGCAACGCUGCGGUGAAUACGUUCCCGGGCCUUGUACACACCGCCCGUCA